AUAGUCAAGCGACUUAUACGAUACUAUUAUUAUAUAGUAGAUUGCGGGUUCGUAGAGGAACCUUUUUGACUUGAGAUUGAGAUUUGUUAAACGUGGUUGCUGAUAAGGGACGUGAAGCUAGUUAGCUCCAGUUGGUUUAAAGAGUGCGUUGGAUCUCUUUCGAUUUAAUAAGACUUAAAAAAGACUUCCGUUGUUAUUUAUUUGACUAUAAGAUUUAUGUUCUGGUUUGUAAUAAUUAAUUUACAUUCUAUUUAGUUGUUAUGUAAUAAUUAGUUAAAACUUAUUGUUUAUUAUUUUAGUUAGUUACAUUAGCCCUGCAGUUAUCAUGAAUAAUUAUCAAUUCGUAGCA